AUACCGCGAAACUGCGAAUGGCUCAUUAAAUCAGUUAUCGUUUAUUUGAUAGUACCUUUUACUUGGGUAACCGUGGUAAUUCUAGAGCUAAUACAUGCUAAAAACCCCGCCUUCGGAAGGGGUGUAUUUAUUAGAUAAAAAACCAAUGCCCUUCGGGGCUGCUUGGUGAUUCAUGAUAACUAAACGGAUCGCAGGGCCUUGCGCCGGCGACGGUUCAUUCAAAUUUCUGCCCUAUCAACUUUCGAUGGUAAGGUCUUGGCUUACCAUGGUUUCAACGGGUAACGGGGAAUUAGGGUUCGAUUCCGGAGAGGGAGCCUGAGAAACGGCUACCACAUCCAAGGAAGGCAGCAGGCGCGCAAAUUACCCAAUCCCGACACGGGGAGGUAGUGACAAUAAAUACUGAUACAGGGCUCUUUUGGGUCUUGUAAUCGGAAUGAGUACAAUUUAAACCCCUUAACGAGGAACAAUUGGAGGGCAAGUCUGGUGCCAGCAGCCGCGGUAAUUCCAGCUCCAAUAGCGUAUAUUAAAGUUGUUGCAGUUAAAAAGCUCGUAGUUGAACCUUGGGCCUGGCUGGCCGGUCCGCCUCACCGCGUGCACUGGUCCGGCCGGGCCUUUCCUUCUGGAGAGCCGCAUGCCCUUUACUGGGCGUGUUGGGGAACCAGGACUUUUACUUUGAAAAAAUUAGAGUGUUCAAAGCAGGCCUUUGCUCGAAUACAUUAGCAUGGAAUAAUGGAAUAGGACGCGCGAUCCUAUUUUGUUGGUUUCUAGGACCGCCGUAAUGAUUAAUAGGGAUAGUCGGGGGCAUCAGUAUUCAAUUGUCAGAGGUGAAAUUCUUGGAUUUAUUGAAGACUAACUACUGCGAAAGCAUUUGCCAAGGAUGUUUUCAUUAAUCAGUGAACGAAAGUUAGGGGAU
rnacentral:rRNA from 1 species